UACGAAGGGUGCAAGCGUUACUCGGAAUUACUGGGCGUAAAGCGUGCGCAGGCGGUUCGUUGUGUCGGUGGUGAAAUCCCCGGGCUUAACCUGGGAAUGGCCAUGGAAACUGGCGAACUGGAGUGCGGCAGAGGGGGGUGGAAUUCCGCGUGUAGCAGUGAAAUGCGUAGAGAUGCGGAGGAACACCGAUGGCGAAGGCAGCCCCCUGGGCUAGCACUGACGCUCAGGCACGAAAGCGUGGGGAGCAAACAGG
rnacentral:rRNA from 1 species